AUUGAACGCUGGCGGCAGGCCUAACACAUGCAAGUCGAACGAGUGGCGGACGGGUGAGUAAUGUCUGGGAAACUGCCCGAUGGAGGGGGAUAAUCACUGGAAACGGUAGCUAAUACCGCAUACCAUCAGAUGUGCCCAGAUGGGAUUAGCUUGUUGGUGGUGUAACGGCUCACCAAGGCGACGACCCCUAGCUGGUCUGAGAGGAUGACCGGCCACACUGGAACUGAGACACGGUCCAGACUCCUGCGGGAGACGGCAGUGGGGAAUAUUGCACAAUGGGCGCAGGCCUGAUGCAGCCAUGCCGCGUGUAGGAAGAAGACCUUCGGGUUGUAAAGUACUUUCAGCGGGGAGGCGUUACCCGCAGAAGAAGCACCGGCUAACUCCGUGCCAGCAGCCGCGGUAAUAC
rnacentral:rRNA from 1 species